GAUGAACGCUGGCGGCGUGCUUAACACAUGCCAGUCGAACGAUGAAGCCCAGCUUGCUGGGUGGAUUAGUGGCGAACGGGUGAGUAAAACGUGAGUAAACUGCCCUUAACUCUGGGAUAAGACUGGGAAACUGGGUCUAAUACCGGAUAGGAGCGCCUACCGCAUGGGGGGUGUGUGGGAGAUUUAUCGGUUUUGGAUGGACUCGCGGCCUAUCAGCUUGUUGGUGAGGUAUUGGCUCACCAAGGCGACGACGGGUAGCCGGCCUGAGAGGGUGACCGGCCACACUGGGACUGAGACACGGCCCAGACUCCUACGGGAGGCAGCAGUGGGGAAUAUUGCACAAUGGGCGGAAGCCUGAUGCAGCGACGCCGCGUGAGGGAUGACGGCCUUCGGGUUGUAAACCGCUUUCAGUAGGGAAGAAGCGAAAGUGACGGUACCUGCAGAAGAAGCACCGGCUAACUACGUG
rnacentral:rRNA from 1 species